CGUAGGUGGUAGUGCAAGUCUGGGGUGGAAUCCCAGGGCUUAACCCUGGAACUGCCUUGGAAACUGUACUACUUGAGUCAGUGAGGGGAGGGUAGAAUUCCUGGUGUAGCGGUGAAAUGCGUAGAUAUCAGGAGGAAGGCCUGUGGCGAAGGCGGCCCUCUGGCGCUGAACUGACACUGAGGCGCGAAAGCGUGGGUAGCAAACAGGAUUAGAUACCCUGGUAGUCCACGCCCUAAACGGUGGGUACUAGGUGUGGGGCUCGUAAGGGUUCUGUGCCGAAGCGAAAGCAUUAAGUACCCCGCCUGGGGAGUACGGCCGCAAGGUUGAA
rnacentral:rRNA from 1 species